UAAGAUUCGCCAAUGACAAAUAUUAUUUUAACCUUUUUUUUUAUUUUUUCAAUUUCGUUUGCUGUCAUAUUAAUUUUUUUCCUAUUGUUUUACUAAAAAAAUAUUAAAAUUGGUAAAUGACAAGCAUUUUUUUUAAUCAAGUGGUUUCACAAAAUCGUCCUCGAUUCCUUGCUACGAAAUUUUUUUAAUGGUUUAAUCUAUUUUUUUUUGUUUUAUUUCAAUUUUGAUCCACAUACAGUUUUUCAAAGCUGAUC
rnacentral:lncRNA from 1 species